rnacentral:rRNA from 1 species
GACGAACGCUGGCGGCGUGCUUAACACAUGCAAGUCGAACGGAAAGGCCCUGCUUUUGUGGGGUGCUCGAGUGGCGCACGUGUGAGUAACACGUGAGUAACCUGCCCUUGACUUUGGGAUAACUUCAGGAAACUGGGGCUAAUACCGGAUAGGCGCUCCUGCUGCAUGGUGGGGGUUGGAAAGUUUCGGCGGUUGGGGAUGGACUCGCGGCUUAUCUGCUUGUUGGUGGGGUAGUGGCUUACCAAGGCUUUGACGGGUAGCCGGCCUGAGAGGGUGACCGGCCACAUUGGGACUGAGAUAGGGCAGAGACUCCUACGGGAGGCAGGAGUGGGGAAUAGUGCACAAUGGGCGGAAGCCUGAUGCAGCAACGCCGCGUGCGGGAUGACGGCCUUCGGGGUGUAAACCGCUUGCGACUGUGACGAAGCGUGAGUGACGGUAAUGGGUAAAGAAGCACCGGCUAACUACGUG